rnacentral:rRNA from 1 species
ACGAACGCUGGCGGCGUGCUUAAUACAUGCAAGUCAACUUGACUUUAGAUAGCAAUAUCGAAAGUAGGGUGGCGCACGGGUGCGUAACGCGUAGGUAAUCUGCCCUGAGGUCUGACAUAACCCGUCGAAAGGCGGGCUAACAUCAGAUGAUAUAUAAUCACGACAUCGUGGAAAUAUCAAAUCUUCGGAGCCUUGGGAUGAGCCUGCGUCUGAUUAGGUAGUUGGCGGAGUAAUAGCCCACCAAGCCUACGAUCAGUAGCUGGUCUGAGAGGAUGAUCAGCCACACUGGAACUGAGACACGGUCCAGACUCCUACGGGAGGCAGCAGUAAGGAAUAUUGCUCAAUGGGGGGAAACCCUGAAGCAGCAACGCCGCGUGAAGGAUGAAAUACUUUUGUAUGUAAACUUCUGUAAGAUGGGAAAAAUAUUCUCCUCGGGAGAAUUGAUUGUACCAUCAGAGUAAGCCCCGGCUAACUACGUG